ACGGAAGGCAGCAGUGAGGAAUAUUGGUCAAUGGGCGGAAGCCUGAACCAGCCAAGUCGCGUGAAGGAUGAAGGUAUUAUGUAUUGUAAACUUCUUUAGCAGCAGAGUAAUAAGGGGGUCGUGACCCCCGAUGCAAGUAUGCUGAAAAUAAGGAUCGGCUAACUCCGUGCCAGCAGCCGCGGUAAUACGGAGGAUCCGAGCGUUAUCCGGAUUUAUUGGGUUUAAAGGGUGCGCAGGCGGUUUUUUAAGUCAGUGGUUAAAUCGUGAGGCUCAACCUCAUCACGCCAUUGAUACUGGAAGACUUGAUUGCGGUUGAGGUUGGCGGAAUUCGUCGUGUAGCGGUGAAAUGCACAGAUAUGACGAAGAACACCGAUUGCGUAGGCAGCUGACCAAGCCGUAAAUGACGCUCAUGCACGAAAGUGCGGGGAUCGAACAGGAUUAGAUACCCUGGUA
rnacentral:rRNA from 1 species